rnacentral:misc_RNA from 1 species
GAUGAAGAACGUAGCGAACUGCGAUAAGUAAUGUGAAUUGCAGAAUUCAGUGAAUCAUCGAAUCUUUGAACGCACAUUGCGCCCCCUGGUAUUCCGGGGGGCAUGCCUGUUCGAGCGUCAUUUCACCACUCAAGCCUCGCUUGGUAUUGGGCAACGCGGUCCGCCGCGUGCCUCAAAUCGACCGGCUGGGUCUUCUGUCCCCUAAGCGUUGUGGAAACUAUUCGCUAAAGGGUGUUCGGGAGGCUACGCCGUAAAACAACCCCAUUUCUAAGGUUGACCUCGGAUCAGGUAGGGAUACCCGCUGAACUUAAGCAUAUCAAUAAGCGGAGGA